AGUGAACGCUGGCGGUAGGCCUAACACAUGCAAGUCGAACGGCAGCACAGUAAGAGCUUGCUCUUACGGGUGGCGAGUGGCGGACGGGUGAGGAAUACAUCGGAAUCUACUUUUUCGUGGGGGAUAACGUAGGGAAACUUACGCUAAUACCGCAUACGACCUACGGGUGAAAGCAGGGGAUCUUCGGACCUUGCGCGAUUGAAUGAGCCGAUGUCGGAUUAGCUAGUUGGCGGGGUAAAGGCCCACCAAGGCGACGAUCCGUAGCUGGUCUGAGAGGAUGAUCAGCCACACUGGAACUGAGACACGGUCCAGACUCCUACGGGAGGCAGCAGUGGGGAGUAUUGGACAAUGGGCGCAAGCCUGAUCCAGCCAUACCGCGUGGGUGAAGAAGGCCUUCGGGUUGUAAAGCCCUUUUGUUGGGAAAGAAAAGCAGCAGGUUAAUACCCCGCUGUUCCGACGGUACCCAAAGAAUAAGCACCGGCUAACUUCGUG
rnacentral:rRNA from 1 species